rnacentral:sRNA from 1 species
AUUAGCAUCCCUUGUCUUCCGCGGUGUUGCAGACUUAUCCUCAGCUCAAGCGAGUUUGGGGCGUUAUAGAGCCAGCCAAGUAUCCCCUUGCUGGCGUGGGUACUUGUGCAGAAACUUCCCGAGGUGCUUCUGAGACUGCACAGUGAAGACCGCCGCACUGGAGGUCAGCGCUCCGCCGCGGACUCCCGGCUGACUCUGCCACUCUCCCAGGAGGAGGCGCUGUGCACCUCUGGGUGGUUUCCAGGGCUCGGCUGGCGGUAGAGGGAGCCUUGAGGUUGGAAAAGAUCUAGAGCUAUAAUCUCCGAAAGGAAGAUUUGUAAUGCACUGCGAGUUAGAAAUGUUUUUCUCAUUGCAGCUUCCUUGUUUCAAAAAGAGAAUUUUUGACAGCACUGCAAAGGCACAAGAAACCAGGCACAGUAUAAAAUAUACAAAUAAAACAGGUACCAAGGAACUUAAAACAUUCAACCCAUAACGUCGUCUAGGUUUUUCUGCUUUAAGAAAAUUGACUCAAUUCUUCCAAGAGAAUAACCCUAUUAAAGGUCAGAUUCCUGGAAAUAUCUGGAGGGUAAGAACCAGUGAAUGAAAAGAGAUGGUUAAUGCUUUGCAGUGAAGGAAAAGUGACUCGCAUCAGUAGAUUACUAUGAAGCUGCAAGAGGGUCUCACUCUGUCACCCAGGCUGAAGUGCAGUGGCAUGAUCACAGCUCACUGCAACCUCCGUCUCCUGGGCUCAAGCAAUUCACUGCAACCUCCACCUCCCAGACUCAAGUGAUUCUUCUACCUCAGCCUCCCAAGUAGCUGGGACCACAGGUCCUAUUCACUGGAAGGAAUUUUUCCCUAUUGCUGAUGGUGAUCAGCAAUCUCCGAU